CAUGCAGUCGAGCGGACAGAUGGGAGCUUGCUCCCUGAUGUUAGCGGCGGACGGGUGAGUAACACGUGGGUAACCUGCCUGUAAGACUGGGAUAACUCCGGGAAACCGGGGCUAAUACCGGAUGGUUGUUUGAACCGCAUGGUUCAAACAUAAAAGGUGGCUUCGGCUACCACUUACAGAUGGACCCGCGGCGCAUUAGCUAGUUGGUGAGGUAACGGCUCACCAAGGCAACGAUGCGUAGCCGACCUGAGAGGGUGAUCGGCCACACUGGGACUGAGACACGGCCCAGACUCCUACGGGAGGCAGCAGUAGGGAAUCUUCCGCAAUGGACGAAAGUCUGACGGAGCAACGCCGCGUGAGUGAUGAAGGUUUUCGGAUCGUAAAGCUCUGUUGUUAGGGAAGAACAAGUACCGUUCGAAUAGGGCGGUACCUUGACGGUACCUAACCAGAAAGCCACGGCUAACUACGUGCCAGCAGCCGCGGUAAUACGUAGGUGGCAAGCGUUGUCCGGAAUUAUUGGGCGUAAAGGGCUCGCAGGCGGUUUCUUAAGUCUGAUGUGAAAGCCCCCGGCUCAACCGGGGAGGGUCAUUGGAAACUGGGGAACUUGAGUGCAGAAGAGGAGAGUGGAAUUCCACGUGUAGCGGUGAAAUGCGUAGAGAUGUGGAGGAACACCAGUGGCGAAGGCGACUCUCUGGUCUGUAACUGACGCUGAGGAGC
rnacentral:rRNA from 1 species